rnacentral:rRNA from 1 species
UACGUAGGGGGCGAGCGUUAUCCAGAUUUACUGGGCGUAAAGCGCGUGUAGGCGGCUGGUUAGGUGUGAUGUGAAAUCCUCGGGCUCAACCCGAGAACUGCAUUGCAAACCGGCCUGGCUAGAGUACAGGAGAGGGAAGCGGAAUUCCAGGUGUAGCGGUGAAAUGCGUAGAUAUCUGGCGGAACACCAGUGGCGAAGGCGGCUUCCUGGCCUGUAACUGACGCUGAGACGCGAAAGCGUGGGGAGCGAACCGG